rnacentral:tRNA from 1 species
AAAGAAUUAGUUUWAUUAAAACAUUAAAUUGUCAAUUUAAAAAUAUUUUUCUUUAAAAAAUAUUCUUUU